GGCUGGUCUGAGUGCAGUGGUGUUUACAACUAAUUGUUCACAACCAGUGACAGAUUUCCUUUGUUCCUUCUUCAUUCCCUCUACUUCAAUUGACUAGCCUUAA
rnacentral:Y_RNA from 1 species